AUUGAACGCUGGCGGCAGGCCUAACACAUGCAAGUCGAACGAGUGGCGGACGGGUGAGUAAUGUCUGGAAAACUGCCCGCAGGAGGGGGAUAACUAGUGGAAACGGUAGAUAAUACCGCAUACCAACGGAUGUGCCCAGAUGGGAUUAGCUAGUAGGUGGGGGAAUGGCUCACCUAGGCGACGAUCCCUAGCUGGUCUGAGAGGAUGACCAGCCACACUGGAACUGAGACACGGUCCAGACUCCUACGGGAGGCAGCAGUGGGGAAUAUUGCACAAUGGGCGCAAGCCUGAUGCAGCCAUGCCGCGUGUAUGAAGAAGGCCUUCGGGUUGUAAAGUACUUUCAGCGAGGAGGCGUUACUCGCAGAAGAAGCACCGGCUAACUCCGUGCCAGCCGCCGCGGUAAUUC
rnacentral:rRNA from 1 species